GGAAAAUACUCAGCUGGAAGCAGCCUGGCAUUUGGGAAAAUCUAAUUUAUUGUGGAGGGUCACAUUUGGAUUUUCCUUCUGGAGCAUCUCAGGGCAGGAUUUGUACUGGGAGGCCUGAAUAUGCAAAAUCCCACCUGGAAAGGUGAUGGGUGAAUGAAUGCCAAGGACAUAAGCAAAGAGUGACAGGAAACAUGAGCAAGGUUUCAUGUGUGGACCUCAUCAGUACCCCCAAGAAA